rnacentral:rRNA from 1 species
UCCUGCCAGUAGCGUAUGCUUCUCCUAAAGAUUAAGCCAUGCAUGCUCUGACUAGAGUUGACAAUCUACUCGAAUCUGCGAACGGCUCCGCACACCAGUUAUAACCAUCGGCCGCGUCUCUCGUGUUGUUGCAGCUAAUGCCCAGUGAAAACCAAGCACAAUGUUCGGAUGAUGACAGGAGAUACAUGGAUAUCCAUGGCAAUUCUGUGGCUAAUACAUGAUAGUUACCACCGGAUUGCUCGUGGUAGGGGGGGGCUUUUUUCCCAACUGGGCCUUCGGGCUUGCGCGGGGGGGGGCUCAUAAAACGAACCUACUGUGGGUGGUCUGGGGGAGUGUGAGGUUUAAUUGGCUUGGCUUCUUCGGGACAGAGCGCACUUCCUUUACCCUGCUCCGGGCUCCCUUUCGGGGGGGUCCGGGCGCACUGGGGGGCACAAACCUGGUUGGCGUCCUUUCCUCGGCCCUCACGGGCUAGGGAUUGGGGGUUGGCUGGGGGCGUCCCUCUGGUGGGUCAUUGCCUGGGUAUCUGACCUAUCAACUAGAAUGUGACGUAAAGGAUUGCUGUGGUUGCGACGGGUACAGAGGAUUAGGGUUCGAUCCUGGAGAGUGGGCCUGAGAGAUUGCUCAUACUUCUAAGGAAGGCAGCAGGCGCGCAACGUUCCCAAUGGGCUAUUGCCCGAGGGCGUUAGGGGAAAUAUGAAUGGUCACCGUAAAAAGUGGCUAAUUCAAAUGGGACUACUGUAAACUGGUGGGCGAGUAACCAUUAGAGGACAAGUCUGGUGCCAGCACCCGCGGUAAUUCCAGCUCUAAUAGCAUACGUUAAAGUUGUUGCGGUUAAAACGCUCGUAGUCGCGCAUAGGUCGCUCAGAAACCCUUGCCGGCAAACCUGGUCCAUCCCCCGCAAGGGGGGUGCUGGGGGAGCUGCUUGGGCAGACGACGACCGCCAGCGCUUAUCUGGCGUGCGAGCCUUUUGGCUUGAUUACAGGGGCCACCACUCCAAAGGUCCCCCUUGGAAUCCUCCGAUAAGGGGGCUCCCUGCGUCUUCUGACAAGGGGUGCUCUACUGCGGUCCGAUUCCCUGGGGGGCUGGUGUGUCCUGGCUGGGUAGGUGCCUUAUUGCCAUGAUCAAACUGGCGUGAUUAAAGCAGACCCUCCGCGGUCUCUGCACAGCUCAGCAUGGCAUAAGGGUUGCAGGCUGUUCCCCAUCCAAGUCUGGGGGGCGGUCAGCAGUCUGGUGCAAAGGGGUGUUUCGGGGUGACGGAAUUGCUGGGCGAGUGGUGAAAUACGUUGACCCUAGCAAGUCUACCAAAAGCGAAAGCAGUCACCAGGGGCCUUCCCGUUGAUCAAGAGCGAAAGUUAAGGGUUCGAAAACGAUCAGAUACCGUUGUAGUCUUAACUGUAAAUGUUACUGGCCAGAGAUAGGGCGAUGUCCAUCUCGACUCCCUCCGGAACUUGGGGAAACUAUAGCCUUUGAGUUCCGGGGGGAGUAUGGUCGCAAGGCUGAAACUUAAAGGAAUUGACGGAAGGGCACACAAAGAGUGGAACCUGCGGCUUAAUUUGACUCAACACGGGAAAACUCACCAGGUCCGGAUACAUGUAUGAAGGACAGACUGGGCGAUCUUUCCCAAUAAUGUAAGUGGUGGUGCAUGGCCGUUCUUAGUUCGUGGAUUGGUCUGUCUGGUUAAUUCCGAUAACGAGCAAGAUCCCAACGCUCUGACUAGGGGGGUCAGCCAAGCUUGGUGCCCUGCGCUGCGGUUGUGGUGUGUUCCUUGGGCUCUUGCUCCUUCACGGGGGCGGGGGCAUGGGGGGCAUGUUGCGGCUGUAGUUUGGGGGUGCCUCGCUAGCUGGCUCCUGCAAACGCGAGUUUCUUCUUAGACGGAUCGGGGCCGAUAAGGUCUCUGAAAUGGGGUAAUAACAGGUCAGUGAUGCCCUUAGAUGUUCUGGGCCGCACGCGCGUUACAAUGGCAAGUAUAGCGAGCGGUACCGACAGUCACGCCUAAUAAGCGGGGCUUCGGUCUAUUCCAGUGCCUUCGGGCAAUCUUGGUAACCCAAAAGGCUUGCCUCGACUGGGAUAGCCCAUUGGAAUUAUUGGUCUUCAACGAGGAAUUUUUAGUAGUCGCGGGUCAUUAGCCCGCGACGAAUUAGUCCCUGCCCUUUGUACACACCGCCCGUCGCUGCUACCGAUUGGGUACAACGGUUAUGCGUUCGGAGGAUGGGGCAACUGCCAGCUUCCGGGCUGGCGGAACCCCCAUCCGAAGUUCUAGUUACCGUCGUGCCUAGAGGAAGCAGAAGUCGA